rnacentral:lncRNA from 1 species
UUUGUGCUGUCACUUCAUUUUUUUCCUUCUUGCCUCACAUUUUCUUUCCCCAUUUUGAAUGUGAAUAUUUACUUUUGUUUUCCCAUUUGGCUGUGUUUUGAGGAUCUUCACUUGACUAAUAAGUAUUUUACCUCUUCUUUGGUUUUUUUUUUUUUUUUUUUUUUUUUGGUAGGACGUUAGUGCUCUUCUUGUCCAGGCUUGCCGACUGGUACCUCUUAACCAGAAUCAUCUUGUCAGCAAAGUGUCCCAGCUUAUCCACCAUUUACUUAACAGAUUACAGGGGCUGUCUUGCACACUGUGGAAUGUUUAGCAGCAUCCUUGGCCUCUGCCCACUAGAUGCCAGUAGCAGCUCUCCAAUUGUGGCAGUCAAAAAUGUAUACAGGUCUCAUGUGGGAGAGGUGGACUUCCAAAUUAAAUUAGUACUCUGCCAGCAGGGAAGGAAGAAAUGGAUGCUGGUAGGUAACCAACCAACUCUGCUGCAUGGAGUAAGGCUGUUUUCAGUUUAG